rnacentral:rRNA from 1 species
GACGAACCGUGCGAACGUUGUUCGGAAUCACUGGGCUUAAAGGGCGCGUAGGCGGGCUGCCAAGUCCGUAGGUGAAAUCCCCCGGCUCAACCGGGGAACGGCCUCGGAUACUGGCGGCCUCGAGGGGGUAGGGGCGUGCGGAACUGUGGGUGGAGCGGUGAAAUGCGUUGAGAUCCACAGGAACGUCCGGUGGCGAAGGCGGC